rnacentral:sRNA from 1 species
CGGGAGGUGGGUGAUGACGAUGAUGGCGAUGAUGAUUGGGAUUGAGAAGGAUGCUAGUUGUUUAUGGAUUAUUUGCGGGAAUUUGGAGAUAUACUCAUGUGGAUGUGAGCAUUAUUCAAUGCUUUCGGUCGGCGUUACUAGUCAUUCAUAAGCCUUCCCUACGGCCAUUCCGAAAGACAUAUAUCAAGGAUAUUCGAAUGGAUGCCAUUGGGUAACCCGAUCUGUUGUAGUCGGCCGUGGCAUUUUUUGUUUUCUUUUCUUAAAUAAAUUGCCUGCUAUUUCGGAUCUGCUAUUUCCCAGCCUGCCAGGCUAGCUGUUGACCUGGUGGGAAGUUGACGAUGCACCCCUUUGACUGGGAACCCCUCCUUCGCGCAAUCGCACGACUUGCAGCCACUAACUAGCCUUGUCAUAUUUUGGAAGACGAGAGGGAGUCUGAGUUUUGAGCGGGCCGGAAGACGCCUAUCACGAGGCCAAUAAGGAAAGGAGAGGAAACGAGAGAAUGCAGACGAAACCAAGGAAGCGAGGCAGCCAUUAAUUAUUACUAUUCUGACUUCCACGUAAACCGAUUCUACGAUAACCAUGAUAGUAUGUAUAGUACAUGCCUCCGAACGCAUUGAAUGAAUAAUAUAUGCAUAUACCUGUCUCAGAAUAUGGACAAAAAGUAGGAGAAUAGAAGUAGCAGAAAUGAAAAUAGCACUUGUUAAAUAUUCCUAGUACUCAUAGAGUAUAUAUAUAUAAAUAUAUAUACCAGGAGGGACCAUCCGUCAGCAAAG